AAGAAGAAGGGCAAACCUGACCCCUACGCCUACCUGCCCCUCUCCAGGAACAACUUGAAUAAAAGGAAAAAAGCUAUAACGUCGAAACAAUUUAAAGGCAUCGUGAAAUCCAAGACUAAAAACUUGAAACUGAAGUCAAAAAGGAAAUGACGAGGAAACGACUGUAAUCUCUGCUUUUAACACUAGAUUUUUAUUUAAGCUUUUGUUAAACAUUUCAUUUAUAUAAAAUAAAUGUUUAUGAAAUAA